GACGAACGCUGGCGGCGUGCUUAACACAUGCAAGUCGAACGGAAAGGCCCUGCUUUUGUGGGGUGCUCGAGUGGCGAACGGGUGAGUAACACGUGAGUAACCUGCCCUUGACUUUGGGAUAACUUCAGGAAACUGGGGCUAAUACCGGAUAGGAGCUCCUGCUGCAUGGUGGGGGUUGGAAAGUUUCGGCGGUUGGGGAUGGACUCGCGGCUUAUCAGCUUGUUGGUGGGGUAGUGGCUUACCAAGGCUUUGACGGGUAGCCGGCCUGAGAGGGUGACCGGCCACAUUGGGACUGAGAUACGGCCCAGACUCCUACGGGAGGCAGCAGUGGGGAAUAUUGCACAAUGGGCGGAAGCCUGAUGCAGCAACGCCGCGUGCGGGAUGACGGCCUUCGGGUUGUAAACCGCUUUCGCCUGUGACGAAGCGUGAGUGACGGUAAUGGGUAAAGAAGCACCGGCUAACUACGUGCCAGCAGCCGCGGUGAUACGUAGGGUGCGAGCGUUGUCCGGAUUUAUUGGGCGUAAAGGGCUCGUAGGUGGUUGAUCGCGUCGGAAGUGUAAUCUUGGGGCUUAACCCUGAGCGUGCUUUCGAUACGGGUUGACUUGAGGAAGGUAGGGGAGAAUGGAAUUCCUGGUGGAGCGGUGGAAUGCGCAGAUAUCAGGAGGAACACCAGUGGCGAAGGCGGUUCUCUGGGCCUUUCCUGACGCUGAGGAGCGAAAGCGUGGGGAGCGAACAGGCUUAGAUACCCUGGUAGUCCACGCUGUAAACGGUGGGUACUAGGUGUGGGGUCCAUUCCACGGGUUCCGUGCCGUAGCUAACGCUUUAAGUACCCCGCCUGGGGAGUACGGCCGCAAGGCUAAAACUCAAAGGAAUUGACGGGGCCCCGCACAAGCGGCGGAGCAUGCGGAUUAAUUCGAUGCAACGCGUAGAACCUUACCUGGGUUUGACAUGGAUCGGGAGUGCUCAGAGAUGGGUGUGCCUCUUUUGGGGUCGGUUCACAGGUGGUGCAUGGCUGUCGUCAGCCCGUGUCGUGAGAUGUUGGGUUAAGUCCCGCAACGAGCGCAACCCUUGUUCACUGUUGCCAGCACGUUAUGGUGGGGACUCAGUGGAGACCGCCGGGGUCAACUCGGAGGAAGGUGGGGAUGACGUCAAGCCAUCAUGCCCCUUAUGUCCAGGGCUUCACGCAUGCUACAAUGGCUGGUACAGAGAGUGGCGAGCCUGUGAGGGUGAGCGAAUCUCGGAAAGCCGGUCUCAGUUCGGAUUGGGGUCUGCAACUCGACCUCAUGAAGUCGGAGUCGCUAGUAAUCGCAGAUCAGCAACGCUGCGGUGAAUACGUUCCCGGG
rnacentral:rRNA from 1 species